CCUUGCCAGAGAGCCAGACUUCUCAACUGGAACCAGUAUGAAUGCAAACUAUUAGAGAAGCUCCCAUGGAAACUUCCACUCUACCACCCACAUGGUCACUGCCCAGCCCUACUCCUCACAUGGGAGGCAGGGAAAUGUUUCAACAAGCCAGGAGAAAGAUGUAUGAAUGUUAGAAAUAAUAAAUACUACCAGUUGCAACAAGAAUACUAUGAGAUCUUCAAAGCUAAGGAGGCUUUUUUCAGCCUCUCUGCUAAACACCACUGCUGUGCCUGUCUCCACUAGCCUUCAUUUCUGGAUCAAAACUUAUUUCUCUUCCUUGAAGAAUACAGCUCUUUAUUAUGUCAUUUGUAACAACGGUGCUGUUAGGCUAAGGUAUAAGAACGGAACACUGAACAGCUUUAUGGCCCAUUGGUGGGAGAACAUCGCAAAUGAAAUGACAUGUAUACAGUAGGACCCUAGUUGGCAAAAAAAUCCCAUGAUUAAAAAAAUCUUUGUACUGAGUUUAAUAACUUUUUUUCACUCCAGCUAAGCAAUGAGCCCUGGAAAUAAACAGGUGAACACACCCCUGAUUGUGCCAUUG